rnacentral:lncRNA from 1 species
GCGAGGUGAACGGAGAGGAGAAAAGGGCUGCCUUUGCCGUUUGGUGCAAUGGCAGCAAGGGCAUUAGGCCUCGAGACGAGGUGCCUCGGGCGGCACGAGAGGAGCGGCUACUAGGGUUUUUAGUUUUACUAAAAAUAGUUUAGGUCGUGGGCCAUUUGAACUUUAGGGUUUUGUAUUAUUUGGGUUUAUAAAUUUUGGGCUUUCCGGCCUUAUAAAUAGACUUUGGACUUUAAUGAAUUUAUUAUUUAUUGUUUUUAAUUUUGUUUUGUUUUUUUUGUUUGUAGCUGGCCUGGCAGAAUUGGCCUGUUACAGUAUAGGUGGAUUUUCUUUAUUUGAAGUCUCUUUCGAGUGCGAAGAAGACACGGUGAAUAUUAUAAGGGGUUUUAAGGGGUAGGGAUUUUCAGAGAAAAAGGAGAAUUAUG